GAUGAACGCUAGCGGGAGGCUUAACACAUGCAAGUCGAGGGGCAUCACGAGGUAGCAAUACUUUGGUGGCGACCGGCGCACGGGUGAGUAACGCGUAUGUAACCUACCCUGUACAGGGGGAUAGCCCGGAGAAAUUCGGAUUAAUGCCCCAUAAUGAUAUCUGGAGGCAUCUUUAGAUAUUUAAAGCUUCGGCGGUACGGGAUGGGCAUGCGUGACAUUAGCUAGUUGGUAAGGUAACGGCUUACCAAGGCUGCGAUGUCUAGGGGUCCUGAGAGGGUGAUCCCCCACACUGGUACUGAGACACGGACCAGACUCCUACGGGAGGCAGCAGUGAGGAAUAUUGGUCAAUGGGCGUAAGCCUGAACCAGCCAUCCCGCGUGAAGGAAGAAGGCGCUAUGCGUCGUAAACUUCUUUUCCAGAGGAAUAAAAUUUUGUACGAGUACAGAACUGAAGGUACUCUGGGAAUAAGCAUCGGCUAACUCCGUGCCAGCAGCCGCCGUAACAC
rnacentral:rRNA from 1 species